CCUACGGGAGGCAGCAGUGGGGAAUCUUGCGCAAUGGGGGCAACCCUGACGCAGCCAUACCGCGUGUGCGAUGAAGGUCUUCGGAUUGUAAAGCACUUUCAGUGGGGACGAUGAUGACGGUACCCACAGAAGAAGUCACGGCUAACUUCGUGCCAGCAGCCGCGGUAAUACGAAGGUGGCGAAUGUUGCUCGGAUUCACUGGGCGUAAAGCGUCGGUAGGUGGUGUGUUAAGUUAGAGGUGAAAGCCCCGCGCUCAACGUGGGAAUUGCCUUUAAAACUGGCGCACUUGAAGAUAUGAGAGGAUGGCGGAAUGACUGGUGUAGAGGUAAAAUUCAUAGAUAUCAGUCGGAACACCCAAGGCGAAGGCAGCUAUCUGGCAUAUUCUUGACACUGAGCGACGACAGCGUGGGGAGCAAACAGGAUUAGAUACCCUAGUAGUC
rnacentral:rRNA from 1 species